GGCUCAUUGGUCUAGUGGUAUGAUUCUUGCAGUUGUUUGGGUGUAAGAGGCCCCGGGUUCAAAUCCCGGAUGAGCCC
rnacentral:tRNA from 1 species